ACUUUCUAGCUGAACACUCAGCUUCAUCCACUCCAGGACAGCUGAGCAUCUGGAUGGUGUCUCACCCUGUUGCCCAGGCUGGAAUACAGUGGCACAAUCUUGGCUCACUGCAAUCUCCAUCUCCCGGGUUCAAGUGAUUCUCCUGCCUCAGCCUCUCAAGUAGCUGGGAUUACAGGGCUUCAGAAGCUGAUGGCAUAGUUAUGAGAGGGGUGAAGACCGUGACUGCAUUUCCAACAGACCCUGAGGACAAUUGGGAAGAAUGUGCUGAAUAUUUUUGAGCAAUUUCUAUAUGAUAAGCAGUUUUUAGGGCAGGUAUAAGUUGCACUGAUCCUGACCUUUUGGCCUGAGGAUGGAAGUCUUCAGUAUCUGUACAACUUUACUCCCAAGAGCUGGUGUAGAAUGAGUUCCUCUGGCCAUGGGAGGAUCGCAGAGGGGCGCCUGCCACCUCAGCACUUUUCUCUUCAGCAUCUUCUUCAAGGUAUUUCCAGUUGCCCACCCUGAACUGUUUCAGAAUGAGGAGGACACCUGGGGGAAUCUACAGGUGCAUAGACCAAUUUGCAAAAGAACCUGUGAGCCAACAUUAUUACCUCAGCUGGAAGAAUUAAUAAGCAACACAUUCACCCAAGAAGUAUUUACUGAGCACCUACUAUGUGCACUAUUUUCUGGUGUUGGGGCUAGGGGGCAAACGACUCUGACAAGUCUCUGUUCUCAAGGCUGGAGUGCAGUGGUGCGAUCUCGGCUCACUGCAAGCUCCACCUCCCAGGUUCAGGCCAUUCUCCUGCCUCAGCCUCCUGAGUAGCUGGGUCUACAGGCGCCCGCCACCACGCCCGGCUAAUUUUUCGUGUUUUUAGUAGAGACGGGGUUUCACCAUGUUAGCCAGGAUGGUCUCGAUUUCCUGACCUUGUGAUCCGCCCGCCUCAGCCUCCCAAAGUGCUGGGAUUACAGGCGUGAGCCACCGCGCCCGGCCGUAAUUUACAUUUUCUAAAGCGUACUCUGCCAGCCAAGUGGCAAACAGACUUGGGCCUCCUAAGAGUGGAAGCAGGAGAAAACCCGAAGAGCCUGGAGAGAGACUCGUGGCUGGUACCAGUGGAGAGGGAGCAAAAAGGAAAAUACAGGAUACAGUUUCAGGAAAAACUUCAUACCAAUUUCCUGAGGUCAUUUCUGAACUCGAACAUUUUCAGUGCCACCACAUUGUGUUUCCUGCUGAAUCAAGUCUAAAUCACUUCGGUUUUUAAAGCCUUCCAUGAACCUUCCCUGAAUACUGUAGUUUUCACUGAUGGUUGGCUGUUUCAAACUCCCAUAUGAUCCAUACUGUAUAAUUAAUAAGCAAGCAAGGAAUAACACACCCUCUGCUAUUCUGUGCAGUGUUUCAGGUUUUUAGCCUUCUCUUUCAAGAUAGAAAAUCCCUUUAGAGUAGGAACUCGGCUGGCACUUUCUUCCGCAUCCUCCAUAGCACUUAGCAAAGUUCUGUACACAGGGCACAUGUGGAAAUUGCUUAUUGAUUGAUUAAAAGCAUAUAUCACUGGCAUUUGUCUCUUCAGUAUUUCUCUUGUAUGAAGAAGGGUGAUUAUCUGUCAAUAUUCAUUGCAUCAUUGAACCAAUGUGCAAUGCAUUAAUCAUCACUGAGAUAACCAGAUGAGGCUUUAUUGUAAUCUCCUUCUAUUUUGCUGAGAUAAUUUCACUUGCUUUAGAGUUUAUGAGGCCAUAAGUGGCUCCCAUCUGUUGAUGAACAUAUUUCUAAGAGUCAUUUAGUCUCAAGUAUGGAAUACUUGAGGGGAAGUUAAAUUGUAACUUUUAUAUUAAGUGUCAUCUUAGUAACAGAACCAAAAUUGGAAGCAUGUGUUCAAUUUUGGUUUUUCAUUUUCAAAGCUUUAGGUCAGGCAAAGAAUUAAUUUCAUUUGUUUACAAAGUAGAUUAUGCCUAAUAAAAUCUAUUUUGUUUAUGGUCACAUUUGAAUCAAUCCACUGCUUUAGAAAAUGAGAGAAUUCUGAUUGGCUAAUCAUUCAACAUAGUAAAUUACGUUAUUGCACAUCCACAGAACACUGGCCUAAUUGCAUUAUCCAGUAAUGAUAAAAAUAUUCCUUUAUACAUUUUGAGCAAGGCCUAUACCAGUGAUGAAACAGGGAAGAAUCUUGUUUAUUCCAUCCUUGUUUGAUGAUCGACCACAGAAUAUAACAUAACACUUCUGUGUAUAAGAAUUUUUUCCACAUUAAGGAUAAUAAAGACAAGGUAGUUUUCACUGGAUCCUUACUGGUACUCUGAAUUUUCACUAUUUGUCCGCAUUUCUUUUCCUUCCCGGAAAUUUGUUUUCUGGGAAAAACAAGUGCUACUUUGUCAAAUAAAGCUUAAAUAAAAUUGGUUUCAAUUUAUGCAUAGUAAAAGGAAUGCCUAGUGACUGUCUGUCUCUAGUGGGAGGUAGAAAACUCUCCAGGGUGACUUUAUUCACUCCAGAGGUUCUGGUGAGCACCAAGGAACAUUACCUCUGCAAAAUGCAGACAUACGCAAAAGGAUACAUCAAAUUUAAGAGAAGUCCGUAGAUAGAUAUUUGAGGGAUCUGCCUCAGGGGAUGUAGACCAUAUAUACAACAUGGAUUCCCCAGAAUUAGCCUGGUAUUCACGAUCACUGUUUCUUAAAACAUAACUCUUUUAUGUCACCAAGCAACUUUUAUCUGAGAUGAUGACUACUCGAGUACUUCUUUUGCAUAUCGCAAGAAAAUAUCAAGUUUUCAUUUGAGUCCUUAAUUCAAGCUCUUUAUCACAAGAAGAAAGAAUAGCAUGGAUAAAAUGGUUUAAAGGUAGACAAAAGAAAAAAAAACCAUUGUAUUUUAGAAUGCAUAUUCAAACAUAUUCCAAAAAAUACUGUAUUUUAGAAUGCAUAUUCAAACAUGAUGACAAGUGGGCUCUAUGGCUCAUUUUGACAAUAGCUUUAACUUAUGAAGUGAGUGAAUGUCUUUCUACAUGGAGGUGAUGAGUUACUGAAUACUGAACAGCUCUACUAAUUGUGCUUUUGGCUAUUAGAACUUGGCUACUGCCUUUCGUUGCUCUGUGUUGAGAGAAAAAUCUCAAAUGAUGAUGCUAACCAUUUUGCUAAUAAAAUAUGCUAAGCUG
rnacentral:antisense_RNA from 1 species